GAUGAACGCUGGCGGCGUGCUUAACACAUGCAAGUCGAACGGUGAAGCAGGAGCUUGCUCUUGUGGAUCAGUGGCGAACGGGUGAGUAACACGUGAGAAAUCUGCCCUUGACUCUGGGAUAACUGCGGGAAACUGUAGCUAAUACCGGAUAUUUUCCUUGGUGGGCAUCCACUGGGGAAGAAAGAAUUUCGGUCAAGGAUGAUCUCGCGGCCUAUCAGCUAGUUGGUGAGGUAAUGGCUCACCAAGGCGACGACGGGUAGCCGGCCUGAGAGGGUGACCGGCCACACUGGGACUGAGACACGGCCCAGACUCCUACGGGAGACAGCAGUGGGGAAUAUUGCACAAUGGGCGCAAGCCUGAUGCAGCAACGCCGCGUGAGGGAUGAAGGCCUUCGGGUUGUAAACCUCUUUUAGCAGGGAAGAAGCGAAAGUGACGGUACCUGCAGAAAAAGCACCGGCUAACUACGUGCCAGCCGCCGCCGUAA
rnacentral:rRNA from 1 species